GAAUUUUAUAUAAUUAUUAUUUGAUUUUUUAAUUUUUAUAUUUGUUUGAAUUAUAAUUAUAUUUAGUUGGGAGGAUUGUUAAAUUUUUUAAACUUUAAUUAGCAAAUUACAUAAAUUAAUGUGUUAAAGAAUGGUUAUUUUAACUAAUUAAGAAUUAAUUACCUUAGGGAUAACAGCGUAAUAUUUUUGGUGAGAUCAUAUUAAUAAAAAUGUUUGC
rnacentral:rRNA from 1 species